UUUAUACAAUAUUGAUUGAUUUUUCUUUGUUUUAACUUUAUUCUGCUUGUAGCUCCAGAGGUUCUUGGCCCGGAGAAAUAUGACAAGUCAUGCGACAUGUGGUCUUUGGGCGUCAUUAUGUAUAUUCUGUUGUGUGGGUAUCCUCCUUUCUAUUCCAACCAUGGACUAGCCAUAUCUCCUGGGAUGAAGAAGAGGAUAAGGAUGGGGCAGUAUGAAUUUCCCAACCCUGAAUGGUCAGAGGUGUCUGAAGAAGCUAAACAGCUUAUCCGGACCCUCCUGAAGACUGAACCGACCCAAAGGAUGACCAUCACAGAGUUUAUGAAUCAUCCAUGGAUCAAUGUAAGUGGACAAAAUAUAGCCCUCAUGUUGAUGUUUCAGGAUUAUUAUGGCUGCGUUCACACUGCAGGCCAGAUCUGAAUCCAAUGUUUUUUUGUUUGCGUUGCCGUUCACAUUUCCAAAUAUAUACGUAUGGGACCUUCUGUGAACUGCAUUUAUACAGAAGUAAACAUGGAUGGAAUUGCUCGAGGGCAUCUAGCGAUUUUUCCCCAAACUUAAUGUCGUAGGGAAGUUUUAUUUAGAUGUCAAAUCAUUCUGGCUUAAACAUGUAU